CAAGGCCCAGCCAGAGUGCUGCAAACUGGAGAGCACUGCUGUGUGAGGCUGAGGCCACAUGGGAGGCUCAGCUUAAACAGACUGGGCGAGGUGGUGUCUGCCUGUGAUCCUGCCUAGUGGGAGGCUGAGUCAGGAGGACAGCACUGUGGUGAAACCAGAUGAAAGAUGUGGCAGACAGGUGGUAUCCAGCACCACAUUGAAAUCUAUCCCAAGUAGUCAUGGAGCAAGAAUGAAUGGAGACAGCUGAUGAAUGGUGAGCAUGAGAGUAAACAAAGGUGAAAUGAUGAAGCAAGGACAAAGAAACUUCCUUUUCCCUGGAUGAAUGGAAAGAGAAAAUAGUCUCAUAAUAAGACUUGGAGUAUUAUAGAUAUUCGUUAUCUAUUUGCAAUGACCUCUUCAUGAAUGGCCACUAAAGGGCUUGUAUGGAGGGAGUUCAUUUAAGGAAGUGACCCCAAGAUAUGAGCAGAAGGCAGCAGCCAGUGAAAGGGUGGAAGGAAGGAAAGCCAGUAGAAGAAUGUCUUCUUGACUUGGUUACUGCUGUGGACAACUGGAACUCUUCGAUAAGCAGAAAGUCAGCUGAGCCUCGGCGAGGACCUUCCACAGGAUGGAAGAGAGGGGCACUUACCCACUGGAGCCAUCCUCCAUCAGUCAGAAGUGGCCUUAUGGUAUAGUCUUGCAUCUCUAAGAUGCACAUGUGUAGGAGUGUGGGGCCUCUCAAAUGCUUUCAAGGUGGGAACAGAAAAGCUCUAGGUUAGAAAGUGAGAGAUAAGUGAUGAAGCUAAUGCAAGACGUUAAGGAACAGAGGAGAUGGCUACAACCACAUCUACAUAAAAGUGAGUUGAGAGAAGAGAUAAUGGGCACAGGAAGAGACCACACAGGUUCUAACUAAAUCAUGGUAACUGCUGGGAGUCUGGUAUUGAAAAGGUCCAGAUGCUGAUUCUGGACUCAGCAAUGGAGAGCCCAGAGUUUGUGAGACAAAAACAUUC